rnacentral:lncRNA from 7 species
ACAACUUGUAGUUUAUCUGUGAGUUUAAGUUACCUUCCGUUGCUCCAAAACCAAUGUUACCCCCUAUGGACACCCCGUUGCCCCUCAUAGGAUGUCACCUCAAAUUGGGCACACCGUUGCCCCACACACCAUGUUACUUCUAGUUAAUACCCAGUUGCACCACACAAUAUGUUAUUCGUUGCCGCAUCCACCAUGUUAGCCAAAGAGGGCAACCCGUUGCCCCUGAUAAGAUGUUACUUCAUAUUAAUCCAUCGUUGCCUCUCAGACGGUGUUAUCUCAAUUGGGCGGACCGUUGCCUCUCACACCAUGUGCCGCUGCCGCACCAAAACUACAAAGCCCAAAAUUUGUAUAAGGGAAAACAAUAGAAUAAAUAAAUAAAGAA